AACUGAUAUCCCGAAGGCGUGUUCCUUGCGUUCGCGCUCUGACGGAUGCUUUUAUUAGACCAAACCGCUGAGGGCGUGUGCGUUGCCUCUGCGCUUCGGCGUACGUGGCGCCUCGCUUGACUCGUGCUAUGGUGACUCUGAAUAACCUCUUGGACAAGCGCACGUACCCCUCUUUUGAGUGGGACGGCGCUGCCACUUUCGAGUGUCUGCCUUAUCAGCUAUCAACCGUUCGUUAUGCGCGACCGAUGGCUUUGACGGGUAACGGGGAAUCAGUGUUCGAUUCCGGAGAGGCAGCCUGAGAGACGGCUACCACGUCCAAGGACGGCAGCAGGCACGCAAAUUACCCAAUCCCAGCAACUGGGGGAGGUAGUGACGAAAUCUAACGAUGCGGGCGCCCUUUCUGGGGCCCCGCAAUCGGAAUGGGCACUUUCUAAACAACCUGUUGAGAACCUACUGAAGGGCAAGUCUGGUGCCAGCAGCCGCGGUAAUUCCAGCUUCAGCAGCAUCUAUUAAAGUUGCUGCGGUUAAAAGGCUCGCAGUUGAAUGUCAGUAUCGAGCGCAGGUCAGGUGGACGUUGGGGUGUGAGAUCCAAAGGUUGGUGUGCUCUGUCGUUGGGUAAUGCCUGGCGGCGUGUGCGCCUUCCUUCUCACAUACCCCCGUCCGUGACAAGCCUCCUCGCUUGUGUACAUAUCGGAAUCGAUCAAUGGAGUGUGGUUCUCUGGGUGUCUGUGCUUGGCGUGGCUUGUGGUUCGGCUCACGCUGUUCUGCGGCUGCGUCCGGUGCUUUCGCUUGGGGGCCACGUUGAGCUCCUUCGGUUUUAUGGUCACCUUGAGUAAAUCAGAGUGCUCAAAGCAGUCGUAGGGGCCUUGCGCCCUGUGAACAGUCUUGACGGACUGACUUGGUUUUGCAUGGCAUGUCGGAAGACGACGUCGUGUGCUGGCUCAGAGAUUGAUCAGUGGUAAAAGCCAGCCUCGACGUACUGAUUAAGAGGGACUGUCGAGGGCAUUGGUAUUGCGGGGCGAGAGGUGAAAUUCUAUGACCCCCGCAAGACCUCCUGAAGCGAAAGCGUCUGCCAAGGAUGUUUUCAUUAAUCAUGAACGAAAGUUAGAGGAUCGAAGGCGAUCAGAUACCGCCCUAGUUCUAACCCUAAACGAUGCCAACCAUCAAUCCGCGCGUAGCACCCUUCUUAACGGGCUCGGCGGGCAGCUCCCCACUCACGGGAAACCAGAGUCUCUGGGUUCCGGGGGGAGUCUGGUUGCAAAGCUGAAACUUAAAGGAAUUGACGGAAAGGCACCACCAGGCGUGGAGCCUGCGGCUUAAUUUGACUCAACACGGGCCAUCUCACCAGGCCAGCACUCUUGUAUGAUUGACAGAUUGAGAGCUCUUUCUCGAUUCAGUGGAUGGUGGUGCAUGGCCGUUCUUAGUUGGUGGAGUGAUCUGUCUGGUUAAUUCCGAUAACGAACGAGACUCUCCCCUGCUAACUAGUCGGUUGGAUCUUGCUCGGUGAGUUGCGCACCGAGUUCACUCACGGGCGUGGGUUGCGCGCGUGUGGCUGGCUUCGGUUGGUCAUGCGUGUGUGGCUUGCUGUUCGUGGGCCUCGGACCGCGCACUCCAAGUCCGCCGCUUAUGCUAUAACUCUUCUUAGAGGGAUUCACGGUUCUGAAGCCGUCAGAGACUGAGAGCAAUAACAGGUCUGUGAUGCCCUUAGAUGCUCUGGGCUGCACGCGCGCUACAAUGCCGGGCACAGCAGGUCUUUUCCCUGCUCCGUCAGGAGCGGGUAAUCCUCUGAAAGCCAGUUUGUACUCGUGUCUGACACGAAAGGCGUGCUUGGGCCUGGGACUUGCAAUUCUUUCCCACAAACGAGGAAUGCCUAGUAGCGGCGGGUCACUGAGCCCGCUGUGACUCAGUCCCUGCCCUUUGUACACACCGCCCGUCGCUACUACCGAUUGGGUGUACCAGUGAGAGCCUUGGACUGGCGUCCA
rnacentral:rRNA from 1 species